rnacentral:lncRNA from 1 species
GUCCGCAGCCGCUCCCUUGCCGGACGUGGGGCUGCCUGUGCCAGGCACUGCUGGGGCCCUGCUCAUGGCAAAUGCAGCACUGGUGUCCUCCGCAGGCCGGAACCUGUGUCUGGGGGGAGAACGCAGUGGCCGAAGGUGGGAACCAUGUGGCAGUGACCAGGGUCUCGACCGCCCCCACCCCAGCACCCCCUCAGGCUGCAGCUCCAAGGGCCCUCUGGGCAAGACAGGAACAGAAACCAAGUGUCAGGCUUCGGGACAAGCUGUGAGGCUGGCCGCCCUGCCUUGGGCUGAGGGGCCUUGUGAUAUGGCGUCUGUGUUUGGCCACGGCCAGGCUGACCCGCAGGCGGGAGAGAUGAUUGUCCCAGACUCUGCACUCUCCAGGGGGGGGCCUCACGCGCCAGGCCCAAGGUUCCUGAAACAAAGCCUGAGGGAAGUUCUUCCUUUUGUCUGCCUUGAGUAUGUCUUGUUGCUGUCGUUCUCGUUCUGACUUGGGUGGAAAUGGAGAGAGGCCCCUUCUGGGGUUUCAGGGCACUCAAGGGUCUGGGGCUUGGGGCACUUGAGGGGGCCCCCAAACAGCACAGACAGCCACGGCAUCACCUAAGCUUGGGGAUGCCUUCCAGGCACUCCUCUGCCCAGCCACCCCCCACUUAGUCUGCUGGUAUUUACUGAGCACCAGCACCCUGGCAAGUCGGGUCCUGUACCCAUAGCAACUGAGGCCAGACUCGGCCUUCCAGGCCCCUCCUGUAGGCAGCACAGCACUCACUGAUGCCAGGCUGUCAGGAGGGUGUCUGGGGCUGACCCUCACGCCGCCACCAGAGGGCGCC